rnacentral:rRNA from 1 species
ACGGGGCGCAGCAGGCGCGACACGUCAGGGGUGAAAGGCCCGGGCUCAACCUGGGAAUUGCCUUUGAAACUGUCGUGCUAGAGACCGGGAGAGGAUGGCGGAAUUCCCAGUGUAGAGGUGAAAUUCGUAGAUAUUGGGAAGAACACCGGUGGCGAAGGCGGCCAUCUGGACCGGAUCUGACGCUGAGGCGCGAAAGCGUGGGGAGCAAACAGGAUUAGAUACCCUGGUAGUCCACGCCGUAAACGAUGUGUGCUAGCCGUUGGGGAGCUCAGCUUUUCAGUGGCGUAAGCUAACGCGUUAAGCACACCGCCUGGGAGUACGUCGCAAGA